GAAAUGCGAUAAUUAAUGUGAAUUGCAGAAUUCAGUGAAUCAUCGAGUCUUUGAACGCACAUUGCGCCUUGUGGUAUUCCGCAAGGCAUGCCUGUUUGAGCGUCAGUUAAAAACCUCAAAAGAUUUUUUUUUGAAAAAAAGAAAUCUUUUGGACUAUAUCAAGAAAGUGGAGAGAAAGAGAUUUCUCUCUACCUCUUGAAAAAUGAUAGAUGGUCAAAAAGUUCUCCUUUUUACCAGACGUAAUAAGAUUUAUUUUUCUCAUUCGUUUGAAAUAUUGGAAACUUUUUCUUGACAAUCUUGAACCCACAGUUUUUUUUUUAACUUGACUUGACCUCAGAUCAGGUAGGGAUACCCGCUGAACUUAA
rnacentral:misc_RNA from 1 species